rnacentral:rRNA from 1 species
ACGGGUGAGGAAUACAUCGGAAUCUACUCUGUCGUGGGGGAUAACGUAGGGAAACUUACGCUAAUACCGCAUACGACCUACGGGUGAAAGCAGGGGAUCUUCGGACCUUGCGCGAUUGAAUGAGCCGAUGUCGGAUUAGCUAGUUGGCGGGGUAAAGGCCCACCAAGGCGACGAUCCGUAGCUGGUCUGAGAGGAUGAUCAGCCACACUGGAACUGAGACACGGUCCAGACUCCUACGGGAGGCAGCAGUGGGGAAUAUUGGACAAUGGGCGCAAGCCUGAUCCAGCCAUACCGCGUGGGUGAAGAAGGCCUUCGGGUUGUAAAGCCCUUUUGUUGGGAAAGAAAUCCAGCUGGCUAAUACCCGGUUGGGAUGACGGUACCCAAAGAAUAAGCACCGGCUAACUUCGUGCCAGCAGCCGCGGUAAUACGAAGGGCGCAAGCGUUACUCGGAAUUACUGGGCGUAAAGCGUGCGUAGGUGGUCGUUUAAGUCCGUUGUGAAAGCCCUGGGCUCAACCUGGGAACUGCAGUGGAUACUGGGCGACUAGAGUGUGGUAGAGGGUAGCGGAAUUCCUGGUGUAGC